rnacentral:lncRNA from 1 species
UAACCUUUUCCAGAAAGACAUGCAGCCGUCCGUUAAGAUUAAGCAUCUAUUGACAGUUGAUUCAAGCCCCGAGUUAAAUAAAGAUGAUCUAGAACAGGCUAAAUGUCACAACAAAAAUGAACAGGAGUCAUGAUCAGAAUAAUGUAGAAAGAUUUUACCUAAAUGACAUGUUAAACAGAUUUGGUAUGAAUUGUAAGUCAUCACAUAUACUCAAGGACCAUGAAGUAGCCUCUUCUACAUUCAGAAAGAUCUUGCACCUGAACUCCGUUUUUAUCUUCAGCAUGGUCUGAAGCAAAGCUUUUUGACGAGGCCCUCUUUUUCCUUGGGGAAGAGAUGCCCUGCUAAUAGUAGCAAGAAAUCACC